UCGAGCGAGUCUGCCUUGAAGAUCGGAGUGCUUGCACUCUGUGAAACAAGAUACAGGCUAGCGGCGGACGGGUGAGUAACACGUGGGUAACCUGCCCAAGAGAUCGGGAUAACACCUGGAAACAGAUGCUAAUACCGGAUAACAACAGAUGAUGCCUAUCAACUGUUUAAAAGAUGGUUCUGCUAUCACUCUUGGAUGGACCUGCGGUGCAUUAGCUAGUUGGUAGGGUAACGGCCUACCAAGGCGAUGAUGCAUAGCCGAGUUGAGAGACUGAUCGGCCACAUUGGGACUGAGACACGGCCCAAACUCCUACGGGAGGCAGCAGUAGGGAAUCUUCCACAAUGGACGCAAGUCUGAUGGAGCAACGCCGCGUGAGUGAAGAAGGGUUUCGGCUCGUAAAGCUCUGUUGUUGGUGAAGAAGGACAGGGGUAGUAACUGACCUUUGUUUGACGGUAAUCAAUUAGAAAGUCACGGCUAACUACGUGCCAGCAGCCGCGGUAAUACGUAGGUGGCAAGCGUUGUCCGGAUUUAUUGGGCGUAAAGCGAGUGCAGGCGGCUCGAUAAGUCUGAUGUGAAGGCCUUCGGCUCAACCGGAGAAUUGCAUCAGAAACUGUCGAGCUUGAGUACAGAAGAGGAGAGUGGAACUCCAUGUGUAGCGGUGAAAUGCGUAGAUAUAUGGAAGAACACCGGUGGCGAAGGCGGCUCUCUGGUCUGUUACUGACGCUGAAGCUCGAAAGCAUGGGUAGCGAACA
rnacentral:rRNA from 1 species